rnacentral:rRNA from 1 species
UACGGAGGGGGUUAGCGUUGUUCGGAAUUACUGGGCGUAAAGCGCGCGUAGGCGGACCAGAAAGUUGGGGGUGAAAUCCCGGGGCUCAACCCCGGAACGGCCUCCAAAACUCCUGGUCUUGAGUUCGAGAGAGGUGAGCGGAAUUCCGAGUGUAGAGGUGAAAUUCGUAGAUAUUCGGAGGAACACCAGUGGCGAAGGCGGCUCACUGGCUCGAUACUGACGCUGAGGUGCGAAAGUGUGGGGAGCAAACAGG